rnacentral:sRNA from 1 species
AUAUCAUGGAGAAAAAAGGUGAAUGUGACCUGCUGCUACAGAGUGUGUGUUGGGGUAAAAGCUGGAUAGCACCUGCCUGCCUUUCUCCCAGAUCCUAAUGAUGGCAGCCUGUAUACACUUGGAAGCAAGAAUAAUGAAGGCCUGACGAAACUUCCUUUUACCAUCCCAGAAUUGGUGCAGGCAUCCCCGUGCCGAAGUUCAGAUGGAAUCCUCUACAUGGGUAAAAAGCAGGACAUCUGGUAUGUUAUUGACCUCCUGACCGGGGAGAAGCAGCAGACUUUGUCAUCGGCCUUUGCAGAUAGUCUCUGCCCAUCAACCUCUCUUCUGUAUCUUGGGCGAACAGAAUACACCAUCACCAUGUAUGACACCAAAACCCGAGAGCUCCGGUGGAAUGCCAC